UGGUUUGGAAUAUUAUAUUCUGUCAGGAUUACUAUAUUUGGAUUAUCCAAUCUAUAGUUUGAUCGGUAAUGUAGCAUUACAAAUGGUAUAGAAUUAUUCUGAAAAUAUUAUCGAGCGGGGGUGGGUAUCUCAUAUUACUGAUUGUGGGUAAUAUUACAUGUUAUCUAAAAUUACAAGUUUACCCCUCCAAACACCUAAACUGUUUCAAUACAUUAUUUUUAAAAUUUAAAUUUAAAAUUUUAAAUUGUAAAAUUUAAUUUUAAUUUUUAAAUUUUAAAUUUUAAAUUUUAAAUUUUAAAUUUUAAGCUUUUAAUUUUUUAAAUUUCAUAUUUCAUAUUUCAAUUUUCAAUUUUCAAAUCUCAAAUCUUUUUAAACCAUAAAUUUAUAUUUUAAAUUCUAAAAUUUAAAUUUUAAAUUUAUAUUAUAUUUUAAAUUUCAAAUUUAAAUUUCAAUUCAAAUUUUAUACAAAUUAAACUAAAAUUUAGUAAGAAAU
rnacentral:lncRNA from 1 species